CGGAGGGUGCAACGUUGCUCGGAAUUAUUGGGCGUAAAGCGCACGUAGGCGGGUCAUCAAGUCGGAUGUGAAAUCCCUCGGCUUAACCGAGGACGUGCAUUCGAAACUGAUGGCCUUGAGUACGACAGAGGAUCGCGGAAUUCCCGGUGUAGAGGUGAAAUUCGUAGAUAUCGGGAGGAACACCAGUGGCGAAGGCGGCGAUCUGGGUCGAUACUGACGCUGAGGUGCGAAAGCGUGGGGGAGCAAACAGGAUU
rnacentral:rRNA from 1 species